rnacentral:rRNA from 1 species
GAAUAUUGGUCAAUAGUCUAAGGACUGAACCAGCAACUUGGGGGAAUGUAAAGUUUUUAACAAAACAAAUAUCUUAAGAUAUAAAGUUCUAGAUAAAAUACUUAAAAAGACAAUUUUUUAUCUAUAUGUCUUGACCAAAUCACGUGCCAGCAGUCGCGGUAAUACGUGGAAGACUAGUGUUAUUCAUCUUUAUUAGGUUUAAAGGGUACCUAGACAGUUAAUUUAGCCUAAAGCAGGUACAAAUUAACUAGAGUUUUAUAUGAGAAGGUAGAACUUUUGGUUUGAGAGAUUGAAUUCGUCAAUACUAAAGGGACUGAUAACGGUGAAGGCAACCUUCUAACUAAAAACUGACGUUGAGGGACGAAGGCUUGGGUAGCGAAAAGGAUUAGAUACCCUAAUAGUCCAAGCAGAAAAUUAUGAGUGUCAUAGACUAGAGUUUUUAGUCUAUAAAUGAAAGUGUAAGCAUUCCACCUUAAGAGUAAUAUGGCAACAUAGAAACUUAAAUCAUUAGGCCGUCUCUGAAACCAGUAGUGAAGUAUGUUAUUUAAUUCGAUGACCCCCGAAAAACCUUACCACAAUUUGUAUAUUAUUUAUUUAAUACAGGUGCUGCACGGCUGUCUUUAGUUAAUGUCGUGAGAUUUUGGUUAGUUCCAUUAAUUAACGUAAACCCUUAUUUUAUUUUUAAAUAAAAUAGCUCUGCCAUUUUAUUGGUAAGUUAACAGGGAUC